rnacentral:lncRNA from 10 species
AGAUUCUUCCUCUGUAUCUGUGGCGUGGAGGCAUCUGCUGCCUCUGUCUGCCCCCGCCUCAUCCUCCAGGUCUUCUCUAGUUUUGUUCCUCCCCAUGGAGCCCUUACCCGUGACGUAAGCUGAACACCUGAGAACUUUCGAGCUUGCUUUUCUGUUUAGGUUUGGAAAAAACAUGAGAAGGCCUUCCUACCGAGACAACAGCACCAUGGACUGGAGGAGUCUGGAGGGGACAAGGUGUGGGUCUCUUUUCGCCCAGGCUGGAGUGCAG